AGAAGUGAGAAUGCCGGUGUGAGUAGCGAAAGACGGGUGAGAAUCCCGUCCACCGAUUGACUAAGGUUUCCAGAGGAAGGCUCGUCCGCUCUGGGUUAGUCGGGUCCUAAGCUGAGGCCGACAGGCGUAGGCGAUGGAUAACAGGUUGAUAUUCCUGUACCACCAUUAUUCGUUUUAAGCGAUGGGGGGACGCAGUAGGAUAGGCGAAGCGUGCUGUUGGAGUGCACGUCCAAGCAGUGAGAUUGAGUGUUAGGCAAAUCCGGCACUCUUAAGAUUGAGCUGUGAUGGGGAGAGGAACUUGUUCCUCGAGUCGUUGAUUUCACACUGCCGAGAAAAGCCUCUAGCUAGAAUAACGGUGCCCGUACCGCAAACCGACACAGGUAGUCAAGAUGAGAAUUCUAAGGUGAGCGAGCGAACUCUCGUUAAGGAACUCGGCAAAAUGACCCCGUAACUUCGGGAGAAGGGGUGCUCUUUGAGGUUCACGCUUCGAAGAGCCGCAGUGAAUAGGCCCAAGCGACUGUUUAUCAAAAACACAGGUCUCUGCUAAACCGUAAGGUGACGUAUAGGGGCUGACGCCUGCCCGGUGCUGGAAGGUUAAGAGGAGUGGUUAGCGCAAGCGAAGCUACGAAUCGAAGCCCCAGUAAACGGCGGCCGUAACUAUAACGGUCCUAAGGUAGCGAAAUUCCUUGUCGGGUAAGUUCCGACCCGCACGAAAGGCGUAACGAUUUGGGCACUGUCUCAACGAGAGACUCGGUGAAAUCAUAGUACCGGUGAAGAUGCCGGUUACCCGCGACAGGACGGAAAGACCCCGUGGAGCUUUACUGUAGCCUGAUAUUGAAAUUCGGUACAGUUUGUACAGGAUAGGUAGGAGCCUUAGAAGCGUGAGCGCUAGCUUACGUGGAGGCAUUGGUGGGAUACUACCCUAAUUGUAUUGGAUUUCUAACCCGCAGCACUUAUCGUGCUGGGAGACAGUGUCAGGCGGGCAGUUUGACUGGGGCGGUCGCCUCCUAAAGAGUAACGGAGGCGCUCAAAGGUUCCCUCAGAAUGGUUGGAAAUCAUUCAUAGAGUGUAAAGGCAUAAGGGAGCUUGACUGCGAGACCUACAAGUCGAGCAGGGUCGAAAGACGGACUUAGUGAUCCGGUGGUUCCGCAUGGAAGGGCCAUCGCUCAACGGAUAAAAGCUACCCCGGGGAUAACAGGCUUAUCUCCCCCAAGAGUUCACAUCGACGGGGAGGUUUGGCACCUCGAUGUCGGCUCAUCGCAUCCUGGGGCUGUAGUCGGUCCCAAGGGUUGGGCUGUUCGCCCAUUAAAGCGGUACGCGAGCUGGGUUCAGAACGUCGUGAGACAGUUCGGUCCCUAUCCGUCGUGGGCGUAGGAAAUUUGAGAGGAGCUGUCCUUAGUACGAGAGGACCGGGAUGGACAUACCUCUGGUGUACCAGUUGUCGUGCCAACGGCAUAGCUGGGUAGCUAUGUAUGGACGGGAUAAGUGCUGAAAGCAUCUAAGCAUGAAGCCCCCCUCGAGAUGAGAUUUCCCAACUUCGGUUAUAAGAUCCCUCAAAGAUGAUGAGGUGAAU
rnacentral:rRNA from 1 species